UAUAAUGAUUUUAACUGAAAGUGCAGGAGAUUAAAAUGAGAAAGUUUUGUGAAUAAUUGUAUUUAUUAUUUGGCACAUUGAGUUGAUGUUGUGUUUUACAACUGGUAAGGUUAAGAUAUUUCCUUUAUUCUGAGUUUGUCUGUUUACUAUUAGUCA